AUGCACUAGUUUGUCCAGAAAUAGCAUGUUAGUGACAUGAUGCAUGGUUAAGACAAACCAAUUGGAGCAAAAUAAAACACCCAAUAGUACAUGUCACUCACAGGCCUUGGUAGAAUAACAUGAUUUUAAUAAGAAAAGUACUAUACAGCAUAACUAUAACCAUACUUACACCAUCAAAAGAAAAAUGCAUAUACUCAACUUUAUUAUUAACCACAUAAGAUUGCAAAAAAAAAAAAAACAGGCCUGCCUUUUAUUAUUUUUAGCAUCCAUUUAAAUAAGAGUAUUUUUUGAAAAAACUAACUACAUAUGGGCUUUUUAUACCUUAAAAUUUUGGACAAACUUUUUUCCAAUAGUACCUGAAUUCUUAAAGAUGUUUUUGAUAUGCUAAAAACAAAGGCGUGCAUGAAAAAAAAAAAUUUAAGAACCUAAUCUAAAAAAGGUUAAAGCCAUACUUUAUUAUUAUACAGUUGCCUACUUGAAUAUUCCCUACUUAAUGCCACAACCACCACAACAGCAUGCCAUUGCCACAACUUCUGCUAGCAUGAUGACACAGCCCAACCAAGCACCACUGACACCAUUAUGGUACACUGCCUUCAAUCACCUUGAGUGUCAUGGUCAUUGGCAUAUAAUACCACAACUGUAUCCCCACCACCACCCUGCCACCCCACUACUAUCAUCAGUAACAUCAUGCUGCCAACCUGCACUGCUAUCAUUACCACAAUGACACUUCCACUAUCAUUAUGCCUUCUUUAUCACCAAAACUGUCACCAUACUACACACACGCAUAGCACAUGCCCCUUCCACUAGUUUAUAAUAAAUAAAAAAAAUCAAAGUGUUUUAUACUAUAUAUUAUAUAUUAACAUACAAUAUAAGUAUAAUCAAAAUGGAACUAGCAGACGAGGCACACGCCAUGCGUGUGCAUACUACGACAUCAAUUUUACAAUAAAACGCAUAAUAAUAGUACAAACAACAACAAUAGUGAUAGCACUUACAUGAAUUAGCAGUGUGGUAAUAUUGAUGACAAUGGUAGGGUUGUAGGAGGAGGUCAAUGAGGUAUACCAAUACCAACAAUGGUUUCAAAGUUCACAAAUUAGUGAUAAUGACAAAACAGUUGGGUGAUAGUGGUGUGGAGCGAAUUGAUUGCAAUCAAAUCGAUACCAUUUUACCCUCAUGCAUAUAAAAUGCAUAUCAUUGAUCAAAUUUGCCAUUAUAAUUGGAGGUGUCACAUAUGAUGGGUAAUGUCAAAGUUGGUGGAGCAAUUUGACAACAAUCAAAUUGAUGCCACUUUAACCUCAUAUGCAUAUAAAAUUGCAUGUCAUUGAUCAACAUUGUCAUUAUAACUUGUGGUGUCAAAUUACAUGGGCGGUCAAGCCAAUGUUGGUGGAGCAAUUUGGUUGCAAUAAAAUUGAUGCCAUUUUAUCCUCGUAUGCACAUAAAAUGAAUUCCAUUGAUCAAAUUGUCAUUAUAACUAGAAGUAUCAAAUGGUCCAGCUCAGGCCAACCCACUUUUUAAUGGGUUCAAUGGCCCAACUAGGUCAACCCACCCAAGUAAUAUCCCCAACUUGACAACAGCCAGGCAUACCAUUGAAAAUAAAUUCAAAAUGUUGACAAAAAGGUUAAAAUAUAUAAAAUUUUGGAAUAGAAAAAUGAAACAGAUAAAAUAUAACAUGUUAUUCAAUAUUUCAACAAAACAAAAACUACAUUAAAAAUCAUGUCAUUAAAGCUUUACCUUCUUGCACAUUUCUUUCAUCCAAAAAACCCCUUCCAAAAGUGAUAUGGCAACUAAUUUGAGGGUAAAUAUAUAAUGAUGUAAAUCUUUGAGUGACCAAUUUACACAUUUAGCCCCCAAACCAGCCAUUAUAUAGUUGUUAAAACAAAUAUUUUAGAUUUUUGGAUGUGUUUGAAUAAUAAUAAAAAAAAGAGUUAAAAGUCAAGAUUAGUCAUUGGCACACCAGGCUAGCCAAGCCUAGCUGCCAAGUGCAACCUGAUCCAGCAUGCACAAUAAACAUGAUGGUCACUCCUUCAAUGGGCUAGACUAUGGGAACCCAACUUAUUUUCCAUCUUUAAUUGUAACUUAUAAUACAAGUGUCAACAAAUUCAAUAUAAGACAAGCUUAUUUGUUGUGAAUUUUGUUUGUGAAGAUCAUAAUGUUUUAAAAUCUAGCCAUUCAACAAUGCAUAUAGCAAGUGACAACAUGCAACAAAAUAUCUUAUUUAUGAAGCCAAAAUUUGUCAUUGGAAGUGCAAUUGAGUUUGGCUCCUCUCCAAUGCAUAGGAGGAUGGGACAUCUCCUAUCCUUUUUACAAGUUAAUGACACAUGAUCUCUAAAUUUACGUUUGCAUACAAACCAAAUUAUCAAAGAGUUAAAUGAUUAUUCAAUUUAAAUAACAUGAAUUUUUUUAACUUUUAUUUAUGUUCUUAGUAAAUGAACAUCAUAUAAAAAAAAUCAUUUCUCCAAUUUUCUAAAAAAACCAAUAAAUCUAAAAAUACAUACAUAUUUAGUUAUUUUUUACAAAUAAAAUUUAAUGUCUAGAAGUAGAAUUAUUUCUUUUGAUGGAAUUUUUUUUAUUGAAUUUUUAAUAAAUAGGACAUGAAACAUAAAAAAAUAUUUUAAAUAUUUUUUAUCCUAGAAACAUCAAAAAUACAUAUAUAUUCUUAAUUUUUUUUACUCCCUAAAAAACCCGAUAAACAUAAAAUAAUAAAUGAUUUUGAAUUAAUUUUUCUUUAAACAUUAAAAUUGAGAGCCAAAACAUUGUCCUCUAGUAAGUUUUCUAUUUGCUUUAUGAAAACUACUUGUUUUCUUAUCCUCAAAAGUCUAUUUAUUUUAUUUUAUUCAUCAAUUGGACGUAAACCAUCAACUAAAAAACAUAAAAUUGAUAAAAGCAAUGAAAUAGAAUUGUUUAGAAAAUAAUUGGUGUACCAGUGGAUUUUUCAUGUUGAUACUUUGUAAGGACAUAAGAUGUUGCAUUCUCCUAUGCAUUUUGGACAUGCAUUUACCUCCAAGACACGAAUACAAAGAUGAAAAAAAACUAUGUUGCACUAUGGCCACACUUUGAAGGUUUCAAAACGUUCCAAUUGGAAGGAAACCCAACAAAAUAGCAUUCAUAGUCCAUCACUAGUUCUUUAUUCACAACAUUUAAAUUUUAGAUCCAAACCCAAUAACAAAGUACUUGUAAUUGGUUCACAGUUUUCUCUUUAUAGCAUAAAAUCUAAUAAGUCUUAACAUUAAGCACAAAAUUAGCAACAUACUCAACUUAUUCAAUAUUUCAACACCAAGGUCUCAAGUUCCUAUCUUAUCCAUAAAAAGAAAGAAAAGUAACAAUCAUCCAAGGAACCACUAUUCAUUCUUCUAAUUAGAAAUCAAACUCAAACAGUAAAUGCAAUUCCAAUAUUUAGGAUUGGAAAGUUAAAAACUUAUAUUCCAAAUCCAAGCAGUUGAGAUAUCAAGGAAAGCAUUUUUACAAGCUUCCAUCAAUAAGAACAUAACAAAAAUAUUAAUAUAUAUAUAUAUAUAUAUAUAUAUAUAUAUAUAUAUAUAUAUAAGUCCGAAGAGUUUGUAGACGUUUUUCUUUGAGUUUAGACUUUUUUCUUCCCAAAGUAUCCCUUUUAUAUCGCUUAUUUCCCCUCAUAUUGCACAUCUUUAUCAUCCUCAUACUGCACAUCUUUAUUAUUUAACUGUAACAAUCAUGAUAAAUUCACCUUCUCAUUAUUUAAUGGUUAUAAAUGAUAAAAUUGAAUUUAUUUUAAUUAUUUUUUAUUUUAAGGUUCUUCCUUCUCUUCUUUUAAUAAUUAAUAUGCAAGUUUUACUUUUUCUUUUCUGUUGCUUUCCUUUUUUUUCCAUUUACAUCUGGGAUUCAUUGGUAGCAUGGUAAGUACAAUUUAUGUUUUCAUAAUAAAAUUAAUGAACUUUAUAAUUCAACUCAAAUACGUUUUUCAUACAUACAAUUUUACAAGAUAAUGUUCCAUGAUAGUUAAUCUUAUAAAAGUUCCAGCUUGAGCUGUGGUCCAAAAAUGAAAUCCUAGAAUUAAAAAAUUUUCAAUAAUAGCAUUGACAAUUUUGCAUUGAAAGAGAAACCCUGGCCCUCUCUUCUGUUUCCAAUAAAAUAGAGCAAAUAAAAGAAAACUCUUUCAUUCUUAUGUUAUCUUACAUCCUUUACUUCCAAAAAAAAGUUUUAAAAUAAAAAUAAAAAACCCUCGGGUCAACUAAGCAGAACAGUCAGUGUAAGUUUUGACAUUUUUCUGUACACCCAGUUCAUCAUCAAUGGUGAAAAUUUUACAAUUCAAAAUUUUAAUUACUUUUUUUUAUAUUUUCUCUGCAUCUAAACUAACCCCAUGUUUGGUUCUUGGAAAAUUUGAGGAAAAAUGCCAGGGAAAGAAAAUAAAGAGAAAAUGAAAGAAAAUGAAAAGAGGGAAAAAAACAAUAGAUUUAAAGUUAAUAAGUUCUUGCCUAAAAAAAAAAGUUAAUAAGCUCUAUUUAAAUGUUUCAAACUCAUUUCACUUAUUUUCCUCGUCGUUCCUCAACAUUUUCUUUUCCUUUACUGACUUCUGCCUAAAUCUAUUUUUAUGGAUGAAAACAAAAUUUUCAGGAGCUGUGAUCCAAACUUGCAAUAUUUUCACGGCCGCUUAAAGAGAAACCGUAGAAUUCAAUACUUCUAGAAAUAUAUUUUCCAAAUUAUAAAGCACAGAGUGAAUCCAACCAUCUGUUUGGUCACCAAGAAAAUGACAAAAAAAAAAAAAAACAUAUUUUGACUCCAAUAUUAUCUCUCUCACUUUCUUUACUGCCAAGAAAAUCCAAAACUACGAAAAUUUAAAAUAAAUAAAUAAAUAAAUAAAACUGAGAUGAAAUAAGACCAAAAGUCGUAGGUUUUUUUGUGAAGUUCCGGUUUCUGCAUUCCCAAGCCCUAGAUGGUGAAAAAUUUACUAUUCAAAAUUUUCUUUCAUUAUCCCAUUAUUUUCUCAGCAUCCUAGAGGCAUUUUCUCGGUAUCCAAACAAAAUAAUCUAACCUAGGGGUCGAUUGAUUGGCUUGGGAAUAGAGAGGAGCAGUACCUUGAACCCAGAAUCGAUCCAAUCUCAGCGUUUGGAGAAGAAGAAGGGUAAACAGAGAUCGCGACUUCUUGUGCUGCGAGCUAAACCUAAAGCCAUGAGCUACAAGGUACA
rnacentral:lncRNA from 1 species